rnacentral:rRNA from 1 species
GAUGAACGCUGGCGGCGUGCCUAAUACAUGCAAGUCGAGCGAACAGAUGAGGAGCUUGCUCCUCUGACGUUAGCGGCGGACGGGUGAGUAACACGUGGAUAACCUACCUAUAAGACUGGGAUAACUUCGGGAAACCGGGGCUAAUACCGGAUAAUAUAUUGAACCGCAUGGUUCAAUAGUGAAAGACGGUUUUGCUGUCACUUAUAGAUGGAUCCGCGCCGCAUUAGCUAGUUGGUAAGGUAACGGCUUACCAAGGCAACGAUGCGUAGCCGACCUGAGAGGGUGAUCGGCCACACUGGAACUGAGACACGGUCCAGACUCCUACGGGAGGCAGCAGUAGGGUAUCUUCCGCAAUGGGCGAAAGCCUGACGGAGCAACGCCGCGUGAGUGAUGAAGGUCUUCGGAUCGUAAAACUCUGUUAUUAGGGAAGAACAAAUGUGUAAGUAACUAUGCACGUCUUGACGGUACCUAAUCAGAAAGCCACGGCUAACUACGUG